CUGGGAAGUGUAGUCCGGAACGGAGGCGGCGUUCAGAAAUAGGGCGCUGGCUUUGCCAGGAGCGGCUCCUCUCCAAGCCUGGCGGUCACUGCCCUGUGUCCCCUUUUGGGCCUCUCCUGGUCCUCCUGGUUGGAUUAGGAGGCCUCUCAGCCCGGAGUCUGGGUCGCCGAAGUACAGGCCCCUUCACUGAAGCGACCCACGGCGCAGGGGUUUCUGGAAGCCAUCGCCAGGCUCCGAGUGUUCAGAUGCAGCUGCCAGGCUCAGGACGCAGAGAACUGGCUUCCAGCUCGCAGGAGCGCCUGUCCGUGGUGGGUAGGGUCGCAGGCGUGGGGUGUGCAGGAGCAGUGGGACAGCACUGAAACGCAGUCGGAAGAGAUACCACGGUGUGCAGGCACAGGGAAAAGACCACGUGAGGACACAGAGAGAAGACGGCCGUCUGCAAGCCAAGGAGAGAGGCCUCAGGUGAAACCAAACCUGCAGGCACCUUGAUCUUGGACUUCCAGCCUCCAGAAGCUUGAGAAAAGAAAUUUCUGUUGUUUAAGACACCCAUUCUGUGGUAUUUGUUCUGGCAGCCCUAACAAACUAAUAUAGGGAUCUAAAGAUUCCUUGUCUUCAUUUUGAGUAAGAGACUAUAAACUCAGAACUGUGGAGAUCUAGUUAGGUAUUGUACAGCUAGCCUCAUUCUGUCUUAAACUCCAGGUAAAAGAGAAAAAUAUGGAGACAGCCCCUGACUUUGGAGAACUUGCAGUUUUGUGGAGGUGAAAGGAGGCAGCCACAAGAAAAACCCCUGACAUCAAUUCAAAACUAUAAAUAACAAAGACUAACUUGUUCUAUGCACAACAGGUACUACAGCACUGUCCAACAUGGGGACAUGUGAGUGGCCUGAAGCAGCACAAGAACUGGGCAAUAAACUUGAGAUGAACCUCAAAGCAUCAAUAUUAUUCAUGACUAAACUGGGUUCUAAGAAUUUCUAUUUUUACUCUCAGUGUUCAGUAGAGGUCAUUAAAAAAAAAUCUAGCAAUUUUUUUUUCUAAAAUGAAUAUGUAAUAAGAAUGAAAAACAAAAAGCACUAUAAUGUUUUUAAUUAAUGAAAUGCCUUUACGAACCAAGGUGCCAUCUUGGAGAAGCUAGGCAUUAUGAGGAGCUAUCAGGAGCACAUUUGCUAACAGCUUGGCAUGAGCAGGAUUUUCUUGACCAACUGGCAAGAUGGGGCUGCUCAGCUCCUGCUGGCAGAUUUUUAUGGAGCAUAGUUUUACAAAUUCAGCCUACAACUCUGAUACGUUCCAAUGUAUUUUAAACAUCUAUUCAGUUGCAACUCUAAUCCCAGGAACCUGUGGCUAACAGAAGGCAGAUUUAACUGACUAGCAGCUGUGGGAUUUUCAAAGUCUAAACUGAAAUGAACAUGCGAAACAGUUGGACUACCCCAAAAGCUGAAUUACAAUUCCAGCACUCACCAGCUCUGAAACCUCACUUGGUUACCUAACGCCUCUGUGCCUCAGUUCCCCAGCUAUAAAAUGGAAAAGGCAACAAUACCAACCUUGUAGAUUAUGUUUUGGAUUAAAUGAGGCAACACAUACACAGCACUUAGAACGUGCAAGGCACAAUGGAAGCAUGCAGUGAACAUGACUUGUAAUGAUGCUGACUGUCAUAACUCUCAUCCAUAGGGAUGCUGCCUCUGCUUGUCACCCUUGACCUAUAUAUUUUCAGGCAGUCCUCACCCAGUCCCCAUUUGUGUGUUCUAGAUAGAAAAGGCCCCAUACUAUGAAAUGACUACUGUCCUUCUGCAUGAAGCCUGGUGAACCUGAUAAUGUAGCCUUCAAGUUCCCUUACUGAGCCUUGAGCUCCCUUCAAAGUAUCCAAGCCAACCCUGUCUUGGGAAACUCACCUAGAUAAUGCCCUGAACCCCAAUAAAGGCUCCAGCCCACAGGUCCCUCCCUCUCUCUUGGUCCCCACCCUUUGGCUGGGCAUGUGUGUCCUCAAUGUCUCCAAGCCCUUCCAGUAAGCCCUGCAAGGUGUGCUGGCCACUGUUCUCUGGAAUCUGUGAGUAAUAAACAAUCUUUUUGCCAUUCUGCUCU
rnacentral:lncRNA from 1 species